GAUGAAGAACGCAGCGAAAUGCGAUACGUAAUGUGAAUUGCAGAAUUCAGUGAAUCAUCGAGUCUUUGAACGCACAUUGCGCCCCCUGGUAAUCCGGGGGGCAUGCCUGUCCGAGCGUCAUUGCUGCCCUCAAGCACGGCUUGUGUGUUGGGCCUCCGUCCUCCUCCCGGGGGACGGGCCCGAAAGGCAGCGGCGGCACCGCGUCCGGUCCUCGAGCGUAUGGGGCUUCGUCACCCGCUCUUGUAGGCCCGGCCGGCGCUUGCCGACACAUCAAUCUUUUUUCCAGGUUGACCUCGGAUCAGGUAGGGAUACCCGCUGAACUUAAGCAUAUCAAUAAGCGGAGGA
rnacentral:misc_RNA from 1 species